GCGAAACAUGUCAGCAGAUCAGUCGGCGAUCGGCGGCGGAAAACGGCUUUCUUGUGCGCAUGCGCAUACCUACGUACGAUUUUGCAAUCCAAUCAAUCUGAUGAUAAUCGCAUUGUCUAUGGAUUGGGGGUAAUGGCUCCUACCUAGAAUUGCGGUGAGUCGAAGGGGCUAAUUAAUACAGGACCCCGGAUCCGAGUUCGAAUCUGAAUCUGAAUCCGAUACCGAUCCUCACCCAACCCUCCUGCUGCUUAGGCCUUCCUAUUGAUCAUCGGAUUGUUUUUGCUCAUUUCCUGGGCCCCGGACAAUGGGAGAAGUCUGGAAUAAUUAACAGCCGUAACCGAUUCGGAAUCACAAAUGGCAAACAGCAAAUGGCAAAUGCCACAUAGUGUAUGCUAUGCACUCCCCUCUUCAGAUACUUCCCAUUCAAUAGAGUGAAUGAGCGGGGAAAACUCGAAUGCAUUCAGGCUGCCGCCAUUCAUCGGUAGUGAUAAAUAACUGAAUUAAUGUGACGGCCUUUGGACAAUAAAUUAUUAAGUUUACUGUUCAACUCACUGUAAAAAGUGCUAAAAUUACGCAAGUAAUAAAAACAUUAGCGAUACACUAUCUAUAAAAACAAUCAUUUGAAUAAUGCGGAACUCUCGCCCAAUUGCAAAAUGUCAGCAAGCAAAAGAUCAGAGAUGAAUCAUUGUGAUAAAUCUGAAUGGGUUAAUGGGAAUCUUCAGUGUUGGAACUUGACAACUAACUGAAUCAUAGGUGAUGUAUAUUUUUAUAAAAACCAUUUCUUAAAACUAAUAAACUGAAACAAAAUAUUUAACACAA